ACAUAGUCAGAAAGGGCAUUCUGCAGAGGAGAAAACGCGCGGCCGUGGCUCUAGUAAUCUCAGUAUGAACAGUCAACCGAGUAGCCCCAUCAGUCUACCGUAUCAGAUGAUGAAUUAUCGUUUGUCAGAGAGCCUAAAUUCCAGCCUACAGUAGUGCUGUAUAAAAAAGCACUUAUUUUUUGGACAAUAAAUUUUCGCAAAUCUACUGCAAAUUAUGAAUCGAGAAUAGAUUGUGGAAAAUAUUCAGUUUUUUUAUAUUUUAAACAAUUAUUAACUAUUUCCAUAUUUUGUAAAACGAAACGAAUGUACAGAUUCAUUGUAAACAUACCUAUAUGUUUUUAUGUGCAUAUGAUAAUUAUAAUAUUGAUGUUAAUUAUAAAAUUCUGAAUUUGUUUAUUGCAAUACAUACGUUUAAUUGGAUUUCAAGUUAUUAGAAGUUCUAUUUCCAUAUUUUGUGACACGAAACGAAUGUACAGAUACAUUGUAAACAAACCUAUAUGUUUUUAUGUGCAUAUGAUAAUUAUAACAUUGAUGUUAAUUAUAAAAUUCUGAAAUUGUUUAUAGCAAUACAUACAUUCUAUUUUCAUAUUGUGUGAAACGAAACGAACGUACAGAUAUAUUGUGAACAUACCUAUGUUUUACAUAUUUAAAGUAUGUUAAAAUAAAAUAAAUUAAUUUCAAAUCUA
rnacentral:lncRNA from 13 species